rnacentral:rRNA from 1 species
UACAGAGGGUGCAAGCGUUAAUCGGAAUUACUGGGCGUAAAGCGUGCGUAGACGGUUACAUAAGUCGGGUGUGAAAGCCCCGGGCUCAACCUGGGAAUUGCAUUCGAGACUGCGUAGCUAGGGUGCGGAAGAGGGAAGCGGAAUUUCCGGUGUAGCGGUGAAAUGCGUAGAUAUCGGAAGGAACACCAGUGGCGAAAGCGGCUUCCUGGUCCAGCACCGACGUCAGGCACGAAAGCGUGGGGAGCAAACAGGA